rnacentral:ncRNA from 1 species
CUAACAGGCUCGCGAGUAUUUGGGUGUCAAACCCGGAUGCGGAUGAAAGUGAACGUAGGUGGGAACCGAAUGGUGCACCAUCGACCGAUCUGGAUUUUUUACGAUGGAUUUGAGUAAGAGCGCGUAUGUUGGGACCCGAAAUUGGUGGACUAUGCCUGAAUAGGGCGAAGCCAGAGAAACUCUGGUGGAGGCUCGAAACGCUUCUGACGUGCAAAUCGAUCGUCAAAUUUGGGGAUAGGGGCGAGAGACUUUUCGAACCAUCUAGUAGCUCG